ensembl:lncRNA
CUGAUCAGUACAUAAGCUUGCUUUCUAUGUGUUUCUACUUAAAGACACCUUAUUUAACAUACAGUGUUGAUUCGUUAACAUUGAACUCACAGCCUAGAGCACUAUAACUCACAUUUGAACAAAGCUUAUCUAACGUGUAUUUUCUCUGUCAGGCACAUCACAGCCUUCUUGUGCUUUGGGACACUGGACAGCACUUCAGCACUACCAUCGGGGGCCAUUUUAAACAGCGAACCAACAAAAAGCACAAAAGCGAGAAAAAUGUGGUGCUAAAUAGAUCAGGAAAAGGACACCUGUUUACAAUAAGAUAGCUGAAACAAGAAGGGAGAGCAUCACUUUGUUGGACUAUAGCUGGGGAUGCACACAAUGGGAGAUGUGGAAAUGCACAAAGUGGGGGAACCAUGGUUGAUUCGCAUUUUAAAGAAACUCCUCUGCCUGCAAUGUGGUGCUUGGCUUUAAAGGAAGAAGGGAGAACAGCCAGGAAACAGUCAGAAUACAAUGGAGAACAUAUUCCAGACUGUCGAGAGCUUGCUACUAACUCCAACGGCCCCGACAUGGGUACAGAUAAGGAGAAAAAAAUGGAGGCAAUUUUUUUUCCCCUGCAGAGAUUUCAGAGAUUGAAGCUAAGACAUCCAGUUGCAUUUGAAAAUCGCGUUACCUGCCCACUUAAUGGUUUCGGAGACCCCAUCGUCUCUGAGAGGCCACAUGGAGCAAAACACAGUUAUCUGAACCAAGGGCUUCUUAGACCAGCCAGCCCCCAGCUGACCCACUAGCAGAUCGCUGAUGCAUGCGUGAAUCCAGUCAAGAUGAGCUGAGCCCAACCUAUAUCAGAACAGUCCAUCCGACCUACCAGCUAAAGAGAAGGAAGAGAAGUUUGUUGUUUACAUUGUUGCCGUUUAUUGACCAUAUACUACGUGCCAGAAAUUGCUAAAUUCAGAGAACACAAUGACGUAUGGAAUCUGAUCUCUUCUCUUGAAUAGGUCAAGAGCAUUCAAAGUGAGAUUAAGAUGGAAAGGGCUACAAUGUCUAUUUGACAGAUGGGAAAAACUGAGCUGGAUCAACCCCUUACCUAGUGACUUGUAAAUCUUCAAUUUGAAAAGUUUUGCAAUGAAGGGAGAGAGGAGGAAAGCCAUAGUUUAGAAGAGGACUCACACAUUUUCAGCUGGAGAACAGUGGGAGCCCCAGAGAUUAUGGAGUCGCCGUGGGAUAGAUUAGCAUGUGGGGUGUCUGACAGUUUAAAAGAGGGCUGGUUUAUUAUUACACUAUGAGUAGCCCUCGGAAACUGGGUGCCCUGAUUAUGAUAAUACAAGCUGUUCAGAUGAGAUUCUUCUUUACUCCAAGUUUGAAGCCCCAUGUUUUAGCAGCUGGAAAUGGGGGAUACGUGGAGCUUUCCUUAAGAAGAGCUGCCUUGCCUGUGUUUUCACAGUUUUGCCCGUUCGGUCAAGUGUGGAUGAAGCUGUUACUCUGGUCUCUCAUAAGGAAAGGGAGCCUUGUGUGUGGUGGGCAUGAGGUCAGCCUCUGAGGACAUAAACCUGAUGGAGACACAGGCCUCAUGAGGAGUUCACGGUGAACCUACAACCAGCGUUUAUGGAGCACCGGUGUGCCCGAAGGAAAACAGAGCCCAGAUAAUUUAAAGGACUCACAUGCGCUCCCAGAGCUAGUAAUUUCCCGAAUCCAUAACCAGGCCUCCAGAUAUGACAUCCAGGGACCAGCAACUCCAGUUUUAAGAAAAGAGCAAAGCCAGUUACAUCGUUCUGCACAAAGGCCCUGCUAGAGCUGAGCUACCCAGAGACCAGACCAGAGUGGAUUACUGAAUAUAACUAACCAAAUAAAAGUUAACUGAAGGACUAAAUGUGAUCACAUGGAGAAUGGACUCAUCUCUUGCCAGGAGUGAGCUUCUCAUCUACUGGCUUGGGGAGCAUUUGGCUGCCUUUUCCCCUUCCAGGCUGGGCAAACAGCUCAUUCUGAUGAUCUGAGAGAUGAGCCUCUGGUGAUGUCAGUCUCCCCCUGGGCACAGGGGCCCAUUAUCACAUGCACUUGACCUUCACUCUCCAAUAUGCUGGAUCUCAGCUCAGGAGUGACUCAGCGACGGUGAGCCUGUGCUCCUCCUUCAGAGAGGGCUGUGGUUUUCCUCAGGACAAAUGUUCCCAAAUGUUCCUGCAAAAUCUCCUUGCCAAGCCAGGUGCCUGAAGCCACAGCUCUCUGCCAUUUCAGACCUAAUUUAAGGUUUACUGGUACAUUAGGGACCGGGAAGAAGUUCACUGAAUUUGUUUCCCUAAGGAAACUAGGAUGAGAAUUUUUUACAUUUGCUUCUGCAGAUUCACUUUUUGCCCCCCUAAAUUUCACUAUGAAAAUGUUCCAACAUAUAGAAAAAUGGAAAGCACUCAUACGCCAAUCACCAAGAUUCUAC